UGAGCAAUUAAGCCGAAUCCAGCUCAGGUACGGGGGAACCGUUUGUCAGGGGUGAAACUCAUUAUGAGUAGGGGGACCUCAACCCUAACCCGUCAGCUAACCUCGGAGGCUAUGGGAGGAGCAGUC
rnacentral:sRNA from 2 species